rnacentral:rRNA from 1 species
ACGGGUGAGUAAUGUCUGGGAAACUGCCUGAUGGAGGGGGAUAACUACUGGAAACGGUAGCUAAUACCGCAUAAUGUCGCAAGACCAAAGAGGGGGACCAUCGGGCCUCUUGCCAUCGGAUGUGCCCAGAUGGGAUUAGCUAGUAGGUGGGGUAACGGCUCACCUAGGCGACGAUCCCUAGCUGGUCUGAGAGGAUGACCAGCCACACUGGAACUGAGACACGGUCCAGACUCCUACGGGAGGCAGCAUG